rnacentral:rRNA from 1 species
GCUUGUCUCAAAGAUUAAGCCAUGCACGUCUGAGAAUAAAGAGUUUUCUCUGAAUCUGCGAAUGGCUCAUUAUAUCAGUUAUAGUUUAUUUGAUAGUCCUUUACUACUUGGAUAACCGUAGUAAUUCUAGAGCUAAUACGUGCGUAAAUCCCGACUUCUGGAAGGGACGUAUUUAUUAGAUAAAAGGCCGACCGGGCUCUGCCCGACUCGCGGUGAAUCAUGAUAACUUCACGAAUCGCACGGCCUCGUGCCGGCGAUGUUUCAUUCAAAUUUCUGCCCUAUCAACUUUUGAUGGUAGGAUAGAGGCCUACCAUGGUGGUAACGGGUGACGGAGGAUUAGGGUUCGAUUCCGGAGAGGGAGCCUGAGAAACGGCUACCACAUCCAAGGAAGGCAGCAGG